ensembl:lncRNA
UACACCAUAAAUUUGGGAGAUAUUUGCUUACACCCUUCCCCCCCCCCAUCUAGACCUGGGUUUCUAGCCACCCCUUGCAGCACCUCAGAAGUCCAUUUUCUCCUGCCUGGAAUGCUCCCCAUCCUUAUGAAACCAGCGAUCAAGGGGACCAGUUGCAACGUCCUCCCUUUGAGACCAUGCCAGCCUGGGCAGCACCAGUUUCUGGACGGCUGUGGCCAGGGUACGAGAUGCCCGUGUACAGCCAGCCUUCUGCAAUGACACCAUCUGUCCAGAGAAACUUCUCCUCUCCACGUUGGACAGCUCCAAGGGGCCACAUGGUAGAGACAGGUGGCUUUCCACAGGGGUGGCACAGGCCUGGCAUGGCCCAGAUACCCGAGCGCCAACCCUUGCCAAGUUUCUGGGCUGGCCAUACCAUCAAAAAUGAGGAGACCACGGGCGUCCCCACGAACCCUCUUCUCAGCGGUGGAGACUCCAGGGAAGAACAGAACCCCACGUCUGUGCGAACACGGAAAGAGCAUAGCCGGGCAAACACGGCUGAAGGAAUUUCACUGUCUGUAAUGCAUUAUGGAACUGCUCCAGGCCAGUUUGGGCUGCUGAGGAGGUCUGUGGGUCACGACGGAUCAGCUCCUCGAGUCUUCUUUCCUGAUGAGACGGGUUCUGGGCCCGGGGUGGCCGAAAGGGCCUCGGAUCCGUCUCCAAGGCAACGAGGGAUGCAGGCGAAACCCCGGGAUGCUGACACCAUGCCUUUAAACGAGCCCUUGGCACAGAUUCCCCUGGAGAGGUAUCACUUCCAUUUAAAAUACUCAUUAAAACAGCCUGUUCCAAAUAUUUUUCACCCCACGCCCCGCUUCAAAGACAAGGGAAACGGGGUUGGGCGUGGGCCGUUUGGUCCUCAUUAACGACGUUGGAACAGGGCUCACGGAGCGAAGCAGCUGGGUUUUGUUUUUAAUAACCAAAAGAUGAUGAUGAUGCCACGUGGCAGUCCCCGGCCCUUCUGACCGGACGUCUUGUUCCCAUUGGAAGGUCACACCAAGUAAGGGGCGAUUCGGUGAGAGAGGCCCUGUUUAUCGCAGCAUGUGUUCUUCCUCACCCUGUAUUGUACGCUCGCCUUCCGGCUGUGUCUUGUUUUGUGGUUGGCCCCCGGAGGGGUAAACACCGGCUUCAUUAGCAAGCUUGCCUGCCAAAGCGUGCAGGUCUGAGGAAAACCUGUUGCAGGAGGGGAAAAUGGGUUCAGUGCAUGGAAUAGGUAUUGCUUGUACAGUGGCGCCUCGCUAGACAGUUACCCCUCAUGACAGUUUUUUCGCUAGAUAUUGGCUUUUUGCGAUCGCUAUAGCGAUUCGCAAAACAGUGAUUCCUAUGGGGGAAUUUCGCUGAACAAUGUUUGGUCCCUGCUUCGCAAAGCGAUUUUCGCUAGACGACGAUUUUGACAGCUCCCUCUGCGCUCGCAAAAUGGGUGUUUUCGGGACCUAAGCUUCGCAAGACAGCGAUUUAACCAGCUGAUCGGCGGUUCGCAAAGCGGCUUUCCUAUGGCCGAUCUUCGCUAGACAACGACGAUUCUACCCCAUUGGAACGCAUUAAACAGGUUUCAAUGCAUUCCAAUGGGGAAAUGCUUUUCGCUAGACGAUGAUUUCGCUAAACAGCGAUUUAAGUGGAAUGGAUUAUCAUCGUCUAGUGAGGCACCACUUUACAGUAAAGCUU